UAACACGUGGAUAACCUGCCUCNCACUGGGGGACAACAGUUAGAAAUGACUGCUAAUACCGCAUAAGCGCACAGUACCGCAUGGUACAGUGUGAAAAACUCCGGUGGUGUGAGAUGGAUCCGCGUCUGAUUAGCCAGUUGGCGGGGUAACGGCCCACCAAAGCGACGAUCAGUAGCCGACCUGAGAGGGUGACCGGCCACAUUGGGACUGAGACACGGCCCAAACUCCUACGGGAGGCAGCAGUGGGGAAUAUUGCACAAUGGGCGAAAGCCUGAUGCAGCGACGCCGCGUGAGUGAAGAAGUAUUUCGGUAUGUAAAGCUCUAUCAGCAGGGAAGAUAAUGACGGUACCUGACUAAGAAGCCCCGGCUAACUACGUGCCAGCAGCCGCGGUAAUACGUAGGGGGCAAGCGUUAUCCGGAUUUACUGGGUGUAAAGGGAGCGUAGACGGCAUGGCAAGUCUGAAGUGAAAACCCAGGGCUCAACCCUGGGACUGCUUUGGAAACUGUCAAGCUAGAGUGCAGGAGAGGUAAGUGGAAUUCCUAGUGUAGCGGUGAAAUGCGUAGAUAUUAGGAGGAACACCAGUGGCGAAGGCGGCUUACUGGACUGUAACUGACGUUGAGGCUCGAAAGCGUGGGGAGCAAACAGGAUUAGAUACCCUGGUAGUCCACGCCGUAAACGAUGAGUGCUAGGUGU
rnacentral:rRNA from 1 species